rnacentral:lncRNA from 1 species
AGGGGCCCAAAGGGUCCAAAAUUAAACUUUGUUUGAUUUCAUCAAAAUUGAAUAAUUGGGGUUCUUUGAUAUGCCGAAUCUAACUGUCAUGACUGUGUAUGUAGAUUCUUAACUUUUGGUCCCGUUUUCAAAUUGGUCUACAUUAAGGUCCAAAGGGUCCAAAAUUAAACUUAGUUUGAUUUUGACAAAAAAUGAAUCAGUUAGGUUCUUUGAUAUGCUGAAUCUAAAAAUGUACUUAGAUUCUUGAUUAUUGGCCCAGUUUUCAAGUUGGUCCAAAUCGGGGUCCAAAAUUAAACUUUGUUUGAUUUCAUCAAAAAUUGAAUAAAUGGGGUUCUUUGAUAUACCAAAUCUAACUGUGUAUGUAGAUUCUUCAUUUUUGGUCCUGUUUUCAAAUUGGUCUACACCUAAGUCCAAAGGGUCCAAAAUUAAACUUAAUCUGAUUCAACAAAAAUUGAAAUCUUGGGGUUCUUUGAUAUGCUUAAUCCAAAAAUGUACUUAUAUUUUUUAUUAUGGGCCCAGUUUUCAAGUUGGUCCAAAUCAGGAUCUAAAAUUAUUAUAUUAAGUAUUGUGCAAUAGCAAGUCUUUUCAAUUGCACAGUAUUGCGCAAUGGGCAAGAAUAUCUAAUUGCACAAUAUUGUGAAAUAGCAAAUUUUUUUUUAAUUAGAGUUAUCUUUCUUUGUCCAGAAUAGUUAGCAAGAA